CUUGCCCAAAGAAGGGUUGCUCCUAAAUCAUGGCUAUUAGAUCAGGGCCCAGGUCGUAGCCAUCUGUAAGAAUUGGAUGUGAUGAUGGUGGUGGCUCUAAUAACUCGCCCAUUGGAGCAAAGAAUUUAUAGAUAGGAGUGAAAUCCAUGUGGUGUGGUGAAAAUGGCAAGGUGAGUGUGGUAAAAAAAGAAAAGAAAAAGGAUACACGGACGACUUGGUUCGAAACUAGCACAGCUACCGUUCCCCGGCAACGGCGCUAGAAAGCUUGUUGGGUAUUUUAAACGCAAACAGAAAAAUCCGCAAGCGCACGGAUACCGAUGUAGCCUUCACCCGGGAGUAUUCCAGAGUAUCGAUUUUCCACAGGGAACUUGAGUGUACUAAUUAAGAAUCAAGAUCACCCAAGGAUAACUAUAUAAUUAUUUUUGGUGGGAAGAGAGGAAGUUUCCUGAGAGUUCUCUAGUUGAUCUAAGAAUCAAGAAUUACUUCAAGAUUAUUUAUAUCGGGACAUCAGAGCACUAACCACAGAAAGAGAUGAGAAGGGGGCU
rnacentral:lncRNA from 1 species